GGUUAGCUCAGUGGUAGAGCACUACCUUGGCACGGUGGGUGUUCAUGAACGUUGCAACAACGGGCAAUUCAGCCCGUAGGCACCA
rnacentral:tRNA from 1 species